rnacentral:rRNA from 1 species
UACGUAGGGGGCUAGCGUUAUCCGGAAUUACUGGGCGUAAAGGGUGCGUAGGUGGUUUCUUAAGUCAGAGGUGAAAGGCUACGGCUCAACCGUAGUAAGCCUUUGAAACUGAGAAACUUGAGUGCAGGAGAGGAGAGUGGAAUUCCUAGUGUAGCGGUGAAAUGCGUAGAUAUUAGGAGGAACACCAGUUGCGAAGGCGGCUCUCUGGACUGUAACUGACACUGAGGCACGAAAGCGUGGGGAGCAAACAGGAUUAGAUACCCCCGUAGUCCCUGAG